GACGAACGCUGGCGGCGUGCUUAACACAUGCAAGUCGAACGGAAAGGCCCCUUUGUGGUUACUCGAGUGGCGGACGGGUGAGUAACACGCAAGUAACCUGCCCUUGACUUCCGUAUAACUUCAGGAAACUGAGGCUAAUACCGGAUGGGAAUCCUUUCUGCAUGGUGGGGGUUGGAAAGCUUCGGCGGUUUUGGGUGGACUCGCGGCUUAUCAGCUUGUUGGUGGGGUAGUGGGUUACCAAGGCUUUGACGGGUGGCCGGCCUGGGGGGGGGACCGGCCAAAUUGGGAAUGAGGAAAGGCCCAGACUCCCACGGGAGGCAGCAGUGGGGAAUAUUGCAAAAUGGGCGGAAGGCCGAUGGAGCAAAGCCGGGGGCGGGAUGACGGCCUUCGGGUUGUAAACCGCUUUCAGCAGGGGCGAAGCUUGUGGUGACGGUACCUGGAGAAGAAGCACCGGCUAACUACGUG
rnacentral:rRNA from 1 species